rnacentral:lncRNA from 1 species
AAAAAAAUUACUGAAAAACAAGGACCUAAUUCCUAAAAGGGUUCUAGAAGACAGCAGCUCUUUUCUGCUUGAAAGAAUGUCACGUUAAUGCACAUUUUGAGAGGAUUCAUCUUCACCAUCUAAUUCCUCCAAGAAGCAUCCCUAUAAAGAAGAGAAGCUUCAGCUCCUCAACCCCUCACGCUAUCAACAACAGUCGUUCCCUCUUUACCCCUCAAUCUCCGAUCUUGGAGAGACCAAACAGUCCUCCCUUCGUUCUAAAAGAAAUGGCCGCAACACACAGAGAGGACAAGGGCCAAUCUUUCAUCUCCCAAAAUUGAAGACUUAAAAAAAAUCCAUCACUGUCAAACGUAGUCGAAGUUUGAUUUCUGAAAAUCCGUUCGAGUCAAAGAGGUUUUCCGGUUCGAUUCCCGGCACCGGCAUUUGCUUGUAUUUUCAAAUAGAGAAUCGUCAAACUGAAAUCAAUAGAGGUGCCGAUUCGAAUUCCCAUCCGCGGUUCGUCGCAUUUUUGCGUUUUAAGGCGGCCGUCAUCUAAAUUUCAGAUUCAUUGAGGUUUAUUCUCUUCCUAUAUCUCAUUAGUUUGCUCAAUAUAAUUUUGGAAAUUUAUUUAGUUUGUGAUGAUUUUCUUUGCCUAAUAUGAAAUUGCUCCAAUCAAUAUUAUUUGGAAUUUAAAUGGUUAGUUGUUGGAUUAGUUAAAUUAAUUAAAUUGAAAGAUGUUAAUAAUGUGAAUUAAAAGUACUUUAAUGGGUCGUGGGGGCUGAGGAUUCGAG